GAUGAAGAACGUAGCGAAAUGCGAUAAGUAAUGUGAAUUGCAGAAUUCAGUGAAUCAUCGAAUCUUUGAACGCACCUUGCGCUCUUUGGUAUUCCGAAGAGCAUGCCUGUUUGAGUGUCAUGAAAAUAUCAACCUUGACUUGGGUUCUGUGCUCUAGUCUCGGCUUGGAAUUGGGUGCUUGCCGCUUUUACGAGCGGCUCACCUUAAAUGUAUUAGCUGGAUCUGUCUUUGAGACUUGGUUUGACUUGGCGUAAUAAGUAUUUCGCUAAGGACAUUCUUCGGAGUGGCCUCGUUUCUAGGACGCUUGUCCGCUUUCCAAUACAAGUUCCACCUCGUGGACAUGACUUUUUAUUAUCUGGCCUCAAAUCAGGUAGGACUACCCGCUGAACUUAAGCAUAUCAAUAAGCGGAGGA
rnacentral:misc_RNA from 1 species